UACGGAGGGGGCAAGCGUUAUCCGGAUUCACUGGGUUUAAAGGGUGCGUAGGCGGGUAGGUAAGUCAGUGGUGAAAUCUUCGAGCUUAACUCGGAAACUGCCUUUGAUACUAUCUAUCUUGAAUAUUGUGGAGGUAAGCGGAAUAUGUCAUGUAGCGGUGAAAUGCUUAGAUAUGACAUAGAACACCUAUUGCGAAGGCAGCUUACUACGCAUAUAUUGACGCUGAGGCACGAAAGCGUGGGGAUCAAACAGG
rnacentral:rRNA from 1 species